rnacentral:rRNA from 1 species
GGACUACAAGGGUUUCUAAUCCUGUUUGCUCCCCACGCUUUCGAGCCUCAGCGUCAGUUACAGUCCAGAGAAUCGCCUUCGCCACUGGUGUUCUUCCUAAUCUCUACGCAUUUCACCGCUACACUAGGAAUUCCAUUCUCCUCUCCUGCACUCUAGACUUCCAGUUUGAAAUGCAGCACCCAAGUUGAGCCCGGGUAUUUCACAUCUCACUUAAAAGUCCGCCUACGCUCCCUUUACGCCCAGUAAAUCCGGACAACGCUCGCCACCUACGUAUUACCGCGGCUGCUGGCAC